rnacentral:rRNA from 1 species
GACGAACGCUGGCGGCGUGCUUAACACAUGCAAGUCGAACGGAAAGGCCUCUUUCGGGGGGUACUCGAGUGGCGAACGGGUGAGUAACACGUGAGUAACCUGCCCUUGACUUUGGGAUAACUUCAGGAAACUGGGGCUAAUACCGGAUAGGAGCUCCUGCUGCAUGGUGGGGGUUGGAAAGUUUCGGCGGUUGGGGAUGGACUCGCGGCUUAUCAGCUUGUUGGUGGGGUAGUGGCUUACCAAGGCUUUGACGGGUAGCCGGCCUGAGAGGGUGACCGGCCACAUUGGGACUGAGAUAAGGCCCAGAAUCCUACGGGAGGCAGCAGUGGGGAAUAUUGCACAAUGGGUGGAAGCCUGAUGCAGCAACGCCGUGUGCGGGAUGACGGCCUUCGGGUUGUAAACCGCUUUCGCUCAUGACGAAGCUUUGUGUGACGGUAGUGGGUAAAGAAGCACCGGCUAACUACGUG